rnacentral:sRNA from 2 species
UAUUCUGCCCUACAGGGAAGGAUGAGAAGCUUCGACUAAGGUUCGACUAAGGUUCGACUCGAGCGAAGCGAGAGAACGUUGCCGCAGGCAACGGCCCGAAGGGCGAGGAGCUUUAGCGCCGAGUAAUCCUUCCCCCACCACCA